rnacentral:rRNA from 1 species
CCUACGGGUGGCAGCAGUGAGGAAUAUUGGUCAAUGGCCGGGAGGCUGAACCAGCCAAGUCGCGUGAGGGAAGACGGCCCUACGGGUUGUAAACCUCUUUUGUCAGGGAGCAAGGUGCAGGUCGGGACCUGCUGUGAGAGUACCUGAAGAAAAAGCAUCGGCUAACUCCGUGCCAGCAGCCGCGGUAAUACGGAGGAUGCGAGCGUUAUCCGGAUUUAUUGGGUUUAAAGGGUGUGCAGGCGGAUUUUUAAGUCAGCGGUCAAAUCGUGGGGCUCAACCCCAUCCAGCCGUUGAAACUGGGGAUCUAGAGUGUGCGAGAGGUAUGCGGAAUGCGUGGUGUAGCGGUGAAAUGCAUAGAUAUCACGCAGAACCCCGAUUGCGAAGGCAGCAUACCGGUGCACAACUGACGCUCAGGCACGAAAGCGUGGGUAUCGAACAGGAUUAGAUACCCGAGUAGUC